rnacentral:rRNA from 1 species
CCUACGGGAGGCAGCAGUGGGGAAUAUUGGACAAUGGGGGGAACCCUGAUCCAGCGACGCCGCGUGAGUGAAGAAGUAUUUCGGUAUGUAAAGCUCUAUCAGCAGGGAAGAAAGAAAUGACGGUACCUGACUAAGAAGCCCCGGCUAACUACGUGCCAGCAGCCGCGGUAAUACGUAGGGGGCAAGCGUUAUCCGGAUUUACUGGGUGUAAAGGGAGCGUAGACGGCGAUGCAAGUCUGAAGUGAAAGGCGGGGGCUCAACCCCCGGACUGCUUUGGAAACUGUAUGGCUGGAGUGCAGGAGAGGUAAGUGGAAUUCCUAGUGUAGCGGUGAAAUGCGUAGAUAUUAGGAGGAACACCAGUGGCGAAGGCGGCUUACUGGACUGUAACUGACGUUGAGGCUCGAAAGCGUGGGGAGCAAACAGGAUUAGAUACCCCGGUAGUC